CAAAUGACUUUAGAUGGGCACAAAAUCUUAGCUCAUUUGUGACCAAAUGAUCUAAAACUUUACAUAAUUUGCCUUUAGUUUGCAACACAACAUAAAGAUAACUAAUGCAAUACAUUUUGUACAUUUUUUUCUGGGAUAAUUAGUUGUAAAUAUUAAGGUUAAUUGGUGUUUCAACUUUUCUAACUUCCUGUAUCCGGUAACUGUGCUGUAGUGCAAACACUAGCUUCCUGAUCAGGAACAGUUAGCUGGGAUUUGGUUGCAGAUCUGUUGUUGGUAAUUGUGUAUUCCCACAUUUGUACAUCAGACAUACCAACAGCAACAUUUCUGUAUUGUUAAUUAAGGGGAGUAAAAAAAAAAUUUGAGUAAUAAAUUGAACAGUCAUCUGCAUACUGUGUGAACCAUACAGGUCCCAAUGUAUAACCUAACUAACAAUUCUUAAAAUUAAUUUGUUCUCUUUUACUUCUUCUGUAAUUUUAGAUUUUCUUAGAGUAUAGAAUGAUUUUUUUUAUCUCCAUCUACCAUCUCAUUACUCCAUCCCAUCGCCACAGCAUGAUGCUGCCCCCACAAUCUUUCACUCAGAGUUCAGAGUUUUGUGCUUUUUUUAA